AUGUGCAUGUGUGUGUGCGUGCAUGUGUGUGCAUGCAUGCGUGCAUGUGCAUGUCUG
rnacentral:miRNA from 14 species